UGACUGAGCGUGGCACAAGGCAGCACCACUGCAGAGGUGGGGGCUUGAUCGACAGCCAGCCUGGUGGACUGCUGAUGUGUCAGACCAGGCCCCAGCUUCCCAGCAAGGGAUCCCUUCCUCCCUUCGCCCGGGACACCUUUCAGGUGGCAAAACAGCUAAGACAAUCCGCWCCUCUCACCAUGGGCUCCAGCAUGCCAGUGUAGAGCUGGGGGCAAAUGAACGUGGCCUGCUGGGAACAUGAGUGCUGUGCUGAGCUUGCUUCUGUCUGUCACCAGCUGCACCCUGCUCUGGGGCAUGCCAUUUCCUCCACAGAAUGUGACACUAGUGGCAAAAAACUUCCACACUUGCCUGAUGUGGGAGCCAGACCCUCACUCGCCCAGCAGUGCCAGGUACCAGGUCGAGUGGAAGAGUAGACGAACUUCUCCCUGGACCAAGGCAGAUACCUGUUGGGGGAACAGCAGCAGCUCGUCCUGGACUUGUGAGCUAUAUUUUGAAGAUAUCCAUGAUAUCUACUGGGCAAGAGUGAGAGCGGUGGAUGGAGACAAACUGUCCAAGUGGGUCUCUUCUAGUGAACUGCAGCCAUACAGAGACACAGUUGUCGGUCCUCCCGAGCUGUCCUGGCUGCUCCAAGGUCACAUCCUUAGCAUAAAAAUCAUCAUGCCACUCACUCCAUACCAAAGUAAAAAUGGCUCUUACAAGCCCAUCAACAAAGUGCUGCGGAAACUGUGGUACCGGCUGAACCUUUAUGAAAAGGAUGUAUUCAUCCAGCAAGUUCCCUGUGAACAGAGGGGCAAGGAAGCCUCUUGCAUGUUCAGGUACUUGAAACCAAGCACCCAAUACUGUGUCCGGACUGUGACGGUGGGCAUGCCCAGGGAGCAGAGCAGGGAGGCUGCACAGUGCAUCACAACAUCAGCCACCCCUGGAGACUUUCCCUGGGUCCUCCUCGCCGUACUGAGUGCCGUCUUGCUGGUGCUGUUUGUGGCCGGGCUCUGCUUCCUCAGGCUGUAUGUGUUCCUGAGACCCUCAGAGACGCGCAUCCCGAACUCGCUUGCUAUUUUAAAUGAAGAGCUGACUCUGAACAUCAGGGUGCCCACCCUUGAACUUGAGGGGGACUCAUCCACUUUGAUCUCACUGGUUGUGCUUCCCUCCCAUGGACCAUCUGCAGCUGAGCAGAAAAAGCCCCAAGUCCAGCUGUUCUUUGGAGAAAGCUUUUCCCAGGAGAUGGCUGGCUACUGUGCCAAUGGAUUUAGGCCAGACUGGCCCGAAAGCGAGGCCCUGUCCUUUGCCCCCAGCCAGCUGGAGCAUGUCUUGGACUCUGGGGCCUCCUCACCCCUGGAGGGGCUGGAGGAGGGCAGGGAAGGGGAUAAUGUGUCGGCUUUGCCAGCCCAGCUGCCCAGUGGCUCAUGGGCAUGUCUGGAGCAGCCUGUGCUGGUGGAACUGAAUGACGACAGUUACAGGGGUGACGAAGACUACCAGACAUCUGAGAUGUGGCUUUCCUUGCACCUCCAGCUUUAUUCUAAAUGCCAAUGCCCACUCUUGGGAACAGGCAGCAGCAUCUCUCUGACUCCACAAGGCACAAGUUUCAGCCAAGAGGACCUAAAGGAGAGCCUUGGCAUGACAGAACCCUGCUGCCAGUCCUGGGUACCACUCAGCUCUGUGAAGCUGCCAGCUGACGAGGAGGACAGAGACCAGCUCUUCCCUGCUCUCUGUCACCUGCAUGGCCAUGGGGCCAAGCCAGAGUUAGGUGACAGAGACUCACAGCAGAGUGACUUGGACCAGGCAACACUGGGCUGGCAAGGUGUCCCUCUCCCCAGUUCCUGUGAAGUGCCCUAUUCACCCCUCGACAUCCUGCAGGCAACCACAUCCUCCGGCUAUGAGAUACAUCCCCUGGUCACCGAUGAGCCCUAGGGUAAAGUAGGAGUGUAACAAGAGAGCAGGGCUCUCCCGGAUGCACGCCUGAUGCACGCCUGCCGUCAGGAGCCAGAUUGCAGCAUUAAUGAAUAGCUCCAGUGGAGCAAGAAGCGUUACCCAAAGCUGACCCAACUGUGAUGGACUGCCUGCUCAGACAUGUGUGUGCCUCUUUGGGCCUGGGGCUGGGCCAAGAUUCCCAGGCAGACAGGCACAAGCAUGCUCUGGGACCGACUUCCAUAGAAAGACAGUGAG
ensembl:lncRNA